rnacentral:lncRNA from 10 species
AGUUACAUUCUUCACUACACUCACAGUUACUUGAAACUGAGGACAUUCCUGAUAUUCAAGCCCCAAGACCUGGAUGACCAGGAAGCCAGCAACUCGACCAGAAUGGCAGGCUGUGGAAAGAAGUCAUUUGGUGAGCUUCAGACUGAAGUAAAAGAGCCAGAAGAUUAUAGGACUCCCCUUCCUCCAGGACCUGAAGAUGGAAUCCCCAGAGUCUUAAGAGGAGCCACCAGAAAAAGAUCAAAAGACAUCUACUAGAAGCUUUCUUCGAUACCACCUGAGUUCACUGUAGAAGGCAACUUUGCAACACUUGCCUCCCAUGGUUGGCUUUUGAGCAGCAAGCAGCCUAUUCUGGGUCCAGUUACAACUCCACCU